UUUCGCGCUCGAUUGAGCCAGAAGAACACGUGCCACUAAAAUCUGGCGAAGCGUGAGUAAGUAAUUUUUUUUUUUUUUUGCCACGAAAAGAUAAACUAAAUCCAAUCAAGUGUUAAAUGGUUUACUGUGAUGGUGUCCGACAUGCGUAUAAACUGGUGUUUGGUGUCCUUUAAGCCUAUUGAACAAGUUAAGCAUGUUCACUCUACUCAGAUACGCCAACCAUGCAAGUGUGAUACAAAAAUGUCGAAAAUGUUCAGAACUUGGAAUCCAAGAAUUAUAGUGUACAAACAAAACAAAGUGAUUGGUAAUUACGUAGUGGUUUUCAUCAUGACAAGAAAUUCUCAUUUCAAGUGCUGCUUGGUUUCAAAAGGCUACAGAUAUCAUAGCACAUUUGGAAUUUGAGCCAUCUCUCUAAAGUCGAGCACUGUGGCCAAUUUGCAAUUGUCCUAUUUGCAUGUGUGGACAUUUUGUAAGACCAAGGCAACAGCUUACCAUCACAGAACUUUUGUCGUCUAGUGCUCCUCGUCCGUAAAUGAUACCGUCGAUGAUUCGUCCUUCAAAGGGAUCGGCCACUUUCCACGUGCCAUUUGCAACCGGUACCACAUCCAGAUGAGCUGCCAGCAUAUAAGGAGCCAAUCUUAUCGAAGCCGUUCACCUGUCUGCCAUCUAAUUGAUGGCAGACCUCCAUAUCCUAUGAGCCAAGAAAGAAAAAUAAGGAAAAGCGGGUCCCGAUUUUUUUCUUUUUCUUCCUCCAUCUCUCCUUUCAAUACAGACACACACGCAGCCCGGUAGUGCCAUAAAAUGAGAUUGAGAGCCUUCCAUUUCCUUCUUUUUCAUAUCUGCCUAUCUAUAAAAUGUGUACAAAUGUACAUACAGCCUAUAUAUAUACCGUAUAUGAAAUAAAAACGAGAGUAAAAAAAAAAAGACCUUAAGGGUGGGGUGGAAGUUGGUGGGUGUAUUCCACCUUCCCCUUGCUUUUUUUUUUAUUAGACGGUAUAUAUAGGUAAUCAAUGACGGCUUCGUAAAUAGUGGAUUGCAAGUACGUAGAGGACAUAACAGAGCGAGCGAGAGCAAUACAAAGGUAACCAUAGCAACGCCCUCCCUUUUGGGUCCCCCAUCCCCCAUCGCAAAGAGAGUCGA